rnacentral:piRNA from 1 species
UGGUCCAUGUUCUGUGUGUCUCUGCUUAA